UCCGGUGUGGCCUAGUGGCAAGGCGACGGUCUCCAAAACCGUCCACGGAGGUUCGAUUCCUCCCACCGGGG
rnacentral:tRNA from 1 species